GAAUUCAAUCGGUUGUCUUAUGAUUUUUCACUUCAAUGGCAGGGCUUUCAAAACCCUAAAUUCGCAGAAAAUCUCAAAUCAAUAAACCCUAAAUUCAAAGGUGACAAAGUUGUGAUGAAAGUAGCAGCCCUUUUUGACGAAUGAGAAUGCUAUUUAUUCAAUCAUUGAAAAUUACAGUUUUUUUACACUUUUGAGCCGGUGGAUCAAUCUGGUGAUCAAAUUUCACAUUUAGCUAUCGAUAUUGGAGCAGCACCAUCAACUCUUUUGUUAAGGAAAAGAAGGUGGUCCAGAUGUCACUGAUUGAGCAGUAUAUGCAAACAUCAACCUACAAGACAAGGCGACCUAAUAACAAACAGAAUUGAGUAUUAGUAUGUGUAUGUGCGACAUGUACGGGUGAUGUAUUCUACUACAAGAAGCAAAGGAAAAACAAGAAAGUGCAAGCUAAAGGAAAUGGAGAUGGAGGAGAAAACACGAAGAAGAAGUUAUUUUAGAUGGAUGUGUAAUGCUUCAUUAGUUCUUUUCGAUUUCUCAUUGUAUCUUGCUCUUAGCGUAAUAUAGAUGCUUAUGAGGUCUCGGGUUCAAUUUCCAGCAGAGAUAAAAACAUUAGGUAAUUUCUUCCCAUCUGUUCUAGCCUUAGGACAAAGUUACCAGGUACUUGAUGGUGGUAGGAGGUAGCAGGUAUCCCGUGGAAUUAGUCAAGGUAUGCGCAUGGACACCACGGUCAACAAAAAAAUAUACAUGCUAUAAAUUUCAAAGAAUUUGAUGUGAUGAAGAACCUAAUUAGGCUACCUAUUGUGUUAGAAUUGUUUUGGCAUGCAUAUGAAACUAUAGUUCUACUAUUAAAAGGCAACUCGCAAUUGAAAUCACUUAUAUUUCAUAAAUUUCUAAAUAAAAUUCUUGACUACUAAUUUAACUAUGUGGGAAAACUGUGAAGAUGAAUAUGUAUUUAUCAGGUAUGAAUUUGUAAUGCUAAGCCUGUAAUCACACAAGUUAAUGCAAAAUAAUUUAUUUGUUCGACUUUGAACUUACUGGAAAUCAAUAGUUUCUCCAGCCUUCAUUGAAUUUCUGCAGCCACUUAUUUGUAGAAAUUAUAAUUUCAACUUUUUCCUUGGGUUAAUAGUUUUAUUAACUUAAGAAAUUCCUGACUUUUGCUCUUUAUGUUCACAUGGUUUUUGCAGGGCGUGCUUUACUAUCUACAUAAGAUGUUUCAGCCUUCAGGUAAAAAAAAAAAAAAUUAUUAUUACUGUUUUGUUUAAAAGUUUGGUAUUUCCGCUGUGCAAGGGUACUUCAUGAGGUUUUCUGAGAACGAUAUCAUUUUCAGUUUUACUCUAUUUCAUGUUGUCGCGUGUCAGUAUGAGCUUAUUGUUUUAUUCUUCUAGGUGGUCUUCAUAAAAAAAAUGUGAAUUUCCAUGGAUAAAGCAAGAAUUUUCAGUCGAUGGCUAAUUGCCAAACAUGUUAUGAAGCUACAUAUGGAAAAUUCUGGUGAUUUCUUAUUAUAUUGAAACAAAAGAGAGCACAUUGAUUUGGCUUCAUUAGAUGAUAGCUUGGUUUUGUUUCUAGCCAAGCAAAGGAGAUGUUGGACCAACUUUGAAGAGUGCUGGAAACAUAAUCUGUUACAUUGAGAGCGGACAAUUUAUUGCAGAAGUUAAAAGCUAAGAUAUGUCAUAUAAUGAUUCUGGCAUUUUCACCAAUUUUCGUUAAUGUGGCUUAGUGUACUCCAUCCAUUGUCUGCUAAAACUAAUAAUUUGUUCCUCCUUCUUUCUUCAUUCCCUUUGUUGAAGGGGAGAGAUCAUAAGUUUUAUUCAAGAGUUUAGAAGUUUGGGGUUCUUAAAUUUGAAACAAGGGUAUGUAAAGUUUUUCUGAAAAUGAUAUAAUAGCUUCUCAUAUAAUAACUGCUCUUCGAAAGGUCGGUCAAAGGUAGGCUCUCAAAGCUCAUUAUUUGAGUGGGCUGUUCACCUUGAAAACCAUGCUCUGCUACACAGUCUAAAGUUUGCUUUUAACUACAACCUGUCCUCUCGAAAGACUCCUGUACUAUUGAAAUACAUGUGUACUGUAUUUACCAUCUAAACUAUUGAAACCUGGAUCUAUUACUCUUUCAUAGUUUUCUCAUAAUUAAAUGAGAGUUGGGAUUAUGGCUCGAAAGAUUUUGCUUCCUGCUAAGUCAUGCAACAAAGAUUCUUCGCAGAUACAUUGAGGGAAUUAUUUUGAAGAAGAAUGUGAAUUUCUAAUUUAUGGAUGAGUGUGUCUCUAACCCUAAUUGAAGAUACAUCUGAUUAUACCAUUCAAUUGUUCUCUCAUGGAACCUGGCAGGAGAUCAAUUUUCCUACUACCCUUAAGGUGAGUUCUUUGUUUUAUUUUACUUUUUAGUUGGACCUACUCUGAGUUCAAUUUUACCAACACGUUUUGUUCACCUUGAAUAGCGUAGCUCGAGUGUAUACCUUCAUCUGAGGUAAGUGAAUUUCCUUCAAAUGGAUAAUGAAUCUUCAUAUGGAAAUUUCAAGCUCAUGAAUGUUGGUUAUAUGGAAUUUGACAGUUUUCAGAGCUUUAUUCUCUGUGUAGCUUUCGACGAUCACGUUAUGCAUGUCCAUGUGAAUAUAAUUUACCAAUGCCUCCAUUAUAUUUGACUUAUUUCCUAUAUGCUGUCUCAACUCUAUUUUGGUCGAAGUGGAGAUUUUUGUGAUAACUGGUAUGUGAUUUGGUGAUAUAACAGAUAUAUAGAUGAGAGAAAUCAGACAUGGCUGACUAAUAUUAGGCGGAGACUUUAUGAAUCAAGCUAACUAAUGGAAGAAGAGAUAAAUAGGAGAUUAUAUAAGAGUGAUAGGUUUUUUCUCUCCCAUUGAUUCUUAAUUAGCCAUUCAUUUUACCAGAGUUUUUCUGUUAUUUUGUUUCAGUUGUGCACUAUAUGGGGCAUGAUGAACAAGUGAAAUUCUCAAUUAGCUGAGACUGUUACAUCUAUUAGAUGUUCAGAACCAGUUUGGACCAAAGAAAGGAAAGGACAAGCGGUCAUGUAAAUUGAAAUGUAGGAGCUCUUCCAGCUGCGAAAAGUUGUGAUCAAGAAGAUGGAUAUGCAAGCAACAAAAAGGUUUCUUGCUGAAUUGAAGAUUUUGACGCAUGUACAUCUUGAUCUUGAUUUUGCAUUACUCAAUAUGUCAAUCCGUUCAGUGGUCUGAGCCAUUUAGCUAGCUAACGUGAUACUUUUCCCUAUGAAAGUCAAGAAUGGUGAUUUAGUUCUGCUGUACUUGAGAUUUAUGGAGAAUAAGAGUUAAUAUUUCACAUGUUGAAAUAUUUUCAGUACGUUUGAUAGGAUAUUGUGCUGAAGGAUCUUUGUUCUUAAUAUACGAAUACGUUGAAAAUGUGUAAAUUUUCUAAGAUUCGUUGCUCAAUUUACUGCAUUCUCUGCACCUAAAAUGAAGAGACUUGCGAAGGCUAAUCCGGGUUGGUUGGUCCGGGAAGUCAAGGGAAAGGCAGAUCGUGUACAAUGUCAAUCCUAUAUUUGAUGUCGAUUCAUCCACACUUCUAUUCUCAGUAAAGGAAGGCUAAUUGCUUGCUGGUUGGGAGCUGUAUGAGCAGUAAUGUGCACGUAUGAUUCCGUGAGAAAGUGACAAAAAACAUGGAGAAGAAUCUCCAAGUUAAAAUCAGUUGUAAUCUUUUUUUUAGUAAUUUGGAUUCUGUACCCAGAUCUGUUGAGUUAAGCAAACACGCAGCGGUCAAGGAUGUUUCCCAUCCUUAUACAGGAUCUAAUAUAAUUAGCUAUCAAUGGAUAAAAUGUAUCUAUUGUAUCUGUUUCUACUGUCAA